rnacentral:lncRNA from 1 species
UCUCCCCACACACAAUUUCUUCACUGAAUGAUACUUCACCAUCACGUUAGUUUCUUAAAAAGGACACCAAAACUUUAACACAUAAAAAAAACUUUUUCCAUCUCCAAACCUCACCUCUCUGCAACAUGAAUUUUCCAUAAACCACUUCAUAAAAUAACACCAUUAAACUCCAUUCACCUUCAUGCUACAAGUCACAACAAAACCAUAAACAUAACUUUUAUCACUACACAAUCCUCUUUACCUCUAUCACCUUUAUCAACAUCCUUUCAAAAUAACUUAUAACACCAUGGAAAACUCUCACACACAAUAAUGCAUAUCCUUCACUUCCAUCUACCUUGACUCAUCAUUCUCUUCAAACGUCAUCAUUAAGAACAACCACAUUAACAAUACAAUUUUCAAACCGAAAACAAACAGAAAAUAAUAGAAAAGGAAAAUUUUCAGAUCGGAUCCGUAACCAUCCAUUACGCACGAACAAGAAUCGUGUCCGACGCAUCGAAACAUAACAACGACGACACCUACCUCCAUUCGCCGUCGCUUUCGACACCCUCACCGUCAUUCGCCGUCAUACCAUGAGUUUGGUUUACUUUUUAUGAUGAUUGCUUGCUUGUUGAUUGUCUUUAUUUGUUGUGUUAUGUGAAACAUGUUUAAAGAAAAUUUAUGAAAAUGGUUAAGGAUUAGAAAGAGGGAAAUAAAGCAAAAAUGAGAAGGAAGGGAAUAAUGAAUAAUGAAUUUGUCUUUGGUCUCUGUUGCAUCAUGUUGCUUUGCCAUGUUUAAAUUCUUUUUUUAUUUUAUUUUUCCAUAACACAUGCCACGUGUCGAAAAACCAUUGACAUAGAUUUUAAGUUGAAAAUUCAAUUUUCCCCCUUUUGGUUGCAUCAUCUGCUACUUGCUUGCAAAGCUAUAAAAAAAGCCUGGAUUUUAUGGUGGUUUAGUUACUAAAAUAUUUUUGUAAGUCUAUAUUUUCCAAUAGAAAUUAAUUAGAG